rnacentral:rRNA from 1 species
AGAGUUUGAUCAUGGCUCAGAUUGAACGCUGGCGGCAGGCCCUAACACAUGCAAGUCGAACGGUAGCACAGAGAGCUUGCUCUUGGGUGACGAGUGGCGGACGGGUGAGUAAUGUCUGGGAAACUGCCCGAUGGAGGGGGAUAACUACUGGAAACGGUAGCUAAUACCGCAUAACGUCGCAAGACCAAAGUGGGGGACCUUCGGGCCUCACACCAUCGGAUGUGCCCAGAUGGGAUUAGCUAGUAGGUGGGGUAAUGGCUCACCUAGGCGACGAUCCCUAGCUGGUCUGAGAGGAUGACCAGCCACACUGGAACUGAGACACGGUCCAGACUCCUACGGGAGGCAGCAGUGGGGGAAUAUUGCACAAUGGGCCGCAAGCCUGAUGCAGCCAUGCCGCGUGUAUGAAGAAGGCCUUCGGGUUGUAAAGUACUUUCAGCGAGGAGGAAGGGCAUUAAGGUUAAUAACCUUGGUGAUUGACGUUACUCGCAGAAGAAGCACCGGCUAACUCCGUGCCAGCAGCCGCGGUAAUACGGAGGGUGCAAGCGUUAAUCGGAAUUACUGGGCGUAAAGCGCACGCAGGCGGUCUGUCAAGUCGGAUGUGAAAUCCCCGGGCUCAACCUGGGAACUGCAUUCGAAACUGGCAGGCUAGAGUCUUGUAGAGGGGGGUAGAAUUCCAGGUGUAGCGGUGAAAUGCGUAGAGAUCUGGAGGAAUACCGGUGGCGAAGGCGGCCCCCUGGACAAAGACUGACGCUCAGGUGCGAAAGCGUGGGGAGCAAACAGGAUUAGAUACCCUGGUAGUCCACGCCGUAAACGAUGUCGACUUGGAGGUUGUGCCCUUGAGGCGUGGCUUCCGGAGCUAACGCGUUAAGUCGACCGCCUGGGGAGUACGGCCGCAAGGUUAAAACUCAAAUGAAUUGACGGGGCCCGCACAAGCGGUGGAGCAUGUGGUUUAAUUCGAUGCAACGCGAAAGAACCUUACCUACUCCUUGACAUCCAGAGAACUUAGCAGAGAUGCUUUGGUGCCUUCGGGAACUCUGAGACAGGUGCUGCAUGGCUGUCGUCAGCUCGUGUUGUGAAAUGUUGGGUUAAGUCCCGCAACGAGCGCAACCCUUAUCCUUUGUUGCCAGCGGUUCGGCCGGGAACUCAAAGGAGACUGCCAGUGAUAAACUGGAGGAAGGUGGGGAUGACGUCAAGUCAUCAUGGCCCUUACGAGUAGGGCUACACACGUGCUACAAUGGCAUAUACAAAGAGAAGCGACCUCGCGAGAGCAAGCGGACCUCAUAAAGUAUGUCGUAGUCCGGAUUGGAGUCUGCAACUCGACUCCAUGAAGUCGGAAUCGCUAGUAAUCGUAGAUCAGAAUGCUACGGUGAAUACGUUCCCGGGCCUUGUACACACCGCCCGUCACACCAUGGGAGUGGGUUGCAAAAGAAGUAGGUAGCUUAACCUUCGGGAGGGCGCUACCACUUUGUGAUUCAUGACUGGGGUGAAGUCGUAACAAGGUAACCGUAGGGGAACCUGCGGUUGGAUCACCU